rnacentral:rRNA from 1 species
UACGAAGGGGGCUAGCGUUGUUCGGAAUCACUGGGCGUAAAGCGCUCGUAGGCGGAUGUGCCAGUCAGGGGUGAAAUCCCGGAGCUCAACUCCGGAACUGCCUCUGAUACAGCACGUCUUGAGUUCGAGAGAGGUGGGUGGAAUUCCUAGUGUAGAGGUGAAAUUCGUAGAUAUUAGGAAGAACACCGGUGGCGAAGGCGGCAACCUGGUCCUUGACUGACGCUGAGGCGCGAAAGCGUGGGGAGCAAACAGG